UGGGCUACUUGCCUGUUCUGGAUGGAUACAUACAUGAAGGCAUUCUGAAGUAUAGGCCAUGCAUGAACUUUCCUCCCUUUUCCCUUCUUAUUGGUCAAUUAGUAUGGAUUACCAAGAGCCAGAUUUUAGGAUGUACUACUUGGUAAACGAUGUCAACAGCUGGUAAAUUUGUCUUCAAGCUAGGUGUAUAGGCUACUUCUGCUUCAUAAUUUAAAUGUAAACUGUAAGUUUUAUGAUGCUCUAGGUGGUGCCUAUGUCAGAUUUGAAAACACUAGUUGCAGAAUAGCAAUGGUACUGUGCUUGGAGGUAAUGGCACAGAAACUUUCUCAGCUGCCACUCUGUCUUCUGUGCAAUCACAGGUACCAUUUUUCUUUUAAACUUCACUUACUUUUCUGUUCAAUUUCUACAAAUUAUGCAUGGCUAAGAGCAUGGAGGAAAUUAUCAGGGAAUAGAGAUUGGGACACAGGACUCCUAUAUGCCACAUAACAUUGUUAUAGUCUUCCUGUCAGAUAUACACAAUCCUGGUGUCAUGUUUUUCUGAGAUUUAGACUGCAAUAUUUUCUCUGACUGCAAUGUAGGAAUGAGAAAAUCUAAAUUUGUUGGAGUCCUGGAAUGAGGUCUCAAUGCAGCAGUGGAUGAGAAAUAGGCCAGCAAUUCAACAGAUGUUUAGGACUUCAUCUUGCAAGCUUCUCUCACGUCAAAUAAUUUUAUGUGGACUUUUUCCCUGUUACACGGCAUUCCCCAGUCACUGUGUUGCAGGUUAGUUCAAAGACUGUGU
rnacentral:lncRNA from 1 species